UGGGGAAUAUUGGACAAUGGGGGCAACCCUGAUCCAGCAAUGCCGCGUGUGUGAAGAAGGUCUUCGGAUUGUAAAGCACUUUCGACGGGGACGAUGAUGACGGUACCCGUAGAAGAAGCCCCGGCUAACUUCGUGCCAGCAGCCGCGGUAAUACGAAGGGGGCUAGCGUUGCUCGGAAUGACUGGGCGUAAAGGGCGUGUAGGCGGUUUACACAGUCAGAUGUGAAAUCCCCGGGCUUAACCUGGGAGCUGCAUUUGAUG
rnacentral:rRNA from 1 species